rnacentral:rRNA from 1 species
AUUGAACGCUGGCGGCAGGCUUAACACAUGCAAGUCGAGCGGGGUGAUGGUGCUUGCACUAUCACUUAGCGGCGGACGGGUGAGUAAUGCUUAGGAAUCUGCCUAUUAGUGGGGGACAACAUCUCGAAAGGGGUGCUAAUACCGCAUACGUCCUACGGGAGAAGGCAGGGGAUCACUUGUGACCUUGCGCUAAUAGAUGAGCCUAAGUCGGAUUAGCUAGUUGGUGGGGUAAAGGCCUACCAAGGCGACGAUCUGUAGCGGGUCUGAGAGGAUGAUCCGCCACACUGGGACUGAGACACGGCCCAGACUCCUACGGGAGGCAGCAGUGGGGAAUAUUGGACAAUGGGGGGAACCCUGAUCCAGCCAUGCCGCGUGUGUGAAGAAGGCCUUAUGGUUGUAAAGCACUUUAAGCGAGGAGGAGGCUCUUUUGGUUAAUACCCAAGAUGAGUGGACGUUACUCGCAGAAUAAGCACCGGCUAACUCUGUGCCAGCAGCCGCCGUAA